AAAUUAACUAUAAUGAAAAUCAUCAUUAUCAUUGUUACUCAACAUAAUGUAGUUAUUACCUUUGUUUGCAGUUAAUUUAAGAAACACUGUUUCAAGUUUAUCCACAGAGUAUCCAAUUGAAGACGACCAGAGAAGGAUGUUGAAAUGAACUUUCUUAACACACUGGGAAGUUGGGGAACCUCUCCUUCCAGCCGCGAGGUCCUGCCCUGCAGCAGCCGACCUGGAAAACCAGACCCCAGCCCCUGCAGCAAUGGGCUCCAGGAUUCAGUGCGUGAUUCUGUGCUUUGAAGCACAACACCGCUGCAGUGAUUUCAUCACACUUCCACUGCUGCAGGUCCCUAGUAAACCCAGCUUUCAGAAUCAAGAGAAGCUGGUGGCUAACAAGGCUUAAAA
rnacentral:lncRNA from 1 species